rnacentral:piRNA from 1 species
UCCUUGCCGUGAUGUACGUCUCAAGUGUAGU